AUGAAAACAAUGGCAACAAGAAAAAGGUGUAAACUUUCCAGAACAGGCCCAGAAUUUGAAAAUGUGAUAAAGAGGUUAUUGUGCGCCCGAACUUUUCACACAAGAAUUGGAGGAGAUUUAACACAUGGAAUAAUAAACAGAGGAAGGCGGGCUAAUGCAGAGCAGAUGGGCCUGCAGGGCAGUGCUCAGCAUUUCAACAUCUUUCCCCUGGACCUUUGGACCCAAGGUAAGAAAACUGAAGUUCAGAAAAGGGAGGGGACUGACUCAAUCCCAGCUGCUGGCAGAUCUGGGACUGCAAACCAGCCUUCCAUUGCUCCACACAGGUGUCUCUUCUCACGUGGAAUCACAGCAUUGGAUGGACUGAAAAGAGGAAGAGGCUGCAAUGGAGCAGCACACCUGGUGCGUGGGGAUGCCUGGAAAACAAAAUUAGGAGAGCCCUGGGUCAGCAUUGCUCUGGCACUGGCUGGGCCGGGGGCCAUCCUGAUUCUAGAAUUAUCUUGGUUCCUGGGAUAG
rnacentral:lncRNA from 1 species